UACGGAGGGUGCGAGCGUUGUCCGGAAUCACUGGGCGUAAAGGGCGCGUAGGCGGCCUGAUAAGUAGGGGGUGAAAUCUUGCGGCUUAACCGCAAGGCUGCCUUCUAAACUGUCAGGCUAGAGCACAGUAGAGGCAGGUGGAAUUCCCGGUGUAGCGGUGGAAUGCGUAGAGAUCGGGAAGAACAUCAGUGGCGAAGGCGGCGACCUGGACAAGUACUGACACUCAACUACGAAAGCGUGGGGAGCAAACAGG
rnacentral:rRNA from 1 species